rnacentral:rRNA from 1 species
UACGGAAGGUCCGGGCGUUAUCCGGAUUUAUUGGGUUUAAAGGGAGCGCAGGCUGGCUGUUAAGCGUGCCGUGAAAUGUACCGGCUCAACCGGUGACUUGCGGCGCGAACUGGCGGUCUUGAGUGCGUGCGAGGAUGGCGGAAUUCGUGGUGUAGCGGUGAAAUGCUUAGAUAUCACGAAGAACUCCGAUUGCGAAGGCAGCUGUCCAGUCCGUAACUGACGCUAAUGCUCGAAGGUGCGGGUAU